CAGUCGCCACGGGAAUACGGAGGGUGCAAGCGUUAAUCGGAAUUACUGGGCGUAAAGCGUGCGUAGGCGGUUCGUUAAGUCUGUUGUGAAAGCCCCGGGCUCAACCUGGGAAUGGCAAUGGAUACUGGCGAGCUAGAGUGUGUCAGAGGAUGGUGGAAUUCCCGGUGUAGCGGUGAAAUGCGUAGAGAUCGGGAGGAACAUCAGUGGCGAAGGCGGCCAUCUGGGACAACACUGACGCUGAGGCACGAAAGCGUGGGGAGCAAACAGGAUUAGAUACCCGCGUAGUCCCUGUCUCUUAUAC
rnacentral:rRNA from 1 species